AGGAUGAACGCUGGCGGCGUGCCUAAUACAUGCAAGUCGAACGGAAAAUUCUUGGUACUUGUAUCGGGAGUUUUUAGUGGCGAACGGGUGAGUAACGCGUUGGUGACCUACCCCAAAGUGGGGGAUAACAGAUCGAAAGGUCUGCUAAUACCUCAUGUUGUCAUCGUUUUUAGAAAGCGAUGAUUAAAGGAUUUAUCCGCUUUGGGAGGGGCCUGCGUCCCAUCAGCUAGUUGGUAGGGUAAUGGCCUACCAAGGCGUCGACGGGUAAGGGACCUGAGAGGGUGGCCCCUCACAAUGGAACUGAAACACGGUCCAUACACCUACGGGUGGCAGCAGUAGGGAAUAUUGCACAAUGGACGAAAGUCUGAUGCAGCAACGCCGCGUGUACGAUGAAGGCCUUCGGGUCGUAAAGUACUUUUCAGGGAGAUGAGAAAGGACAGUACCCCUGGAAUAAGUCUCGGCUAACUACGUGCCAGCAGCCGCGGUAAAACGUAGGAGGCGAGCGUUAUCCGGAUUUACUGGGUGUAAAGCGCGUGCAGGCGGUUUGAUAAGUUGGAUGUGAAAGCUCCUGGCUCAACUGGGAGAGGUCGUUCAAAACUAUCAGACUAGAGAGUGGUAGAGGAAAGUGGAAUUCCCGGUGUAGUGGUGAAAUGCGUAGAUAUCGGGAGGAACACCAGUGGCGAAGGCGGCUUUCUGGACCAUUUCUGACGCUCAGACGCGAAAGCUAGGGUAGCAAACGGGAUUAGAGACCCCGGUAGUCCUAGCAGUAAACGAUGUGAACUUGGCGUUGGUGG
rnacentral:rRNA from 1 species